AAUCGGCGGCCGGCGGAGCGGCGGAAGGGGCGGGGCGAGGCGCGGCAAGAUGGCGGCGGCGGGAGGCGCGGAGUCCGGUAGCGGUGGUGGUGGCGGCGGUGCGGAGCUCGCGCUGGUGGAGGGCAGCGCCGGGCGGGCCGCCCGCGUCGGCGACCCGGGAGACCUGGUGGCCCUGGCGCGGCAGGUGCAGCAGGCGGACGACUUCACCCGCGCCAAUGCCUGCAGCAAGCUGAUGGUCAUCGCCGAGCAGAUCCGGCAUCUGCAGGAGCAGGCUCGGAAGGUCUUGGACGAAGCUAACAGAGACGCUGAUCUGCACCACGUGGCCUGCAAUCUCGUGAAGAAGCCGGGAAACAUCUACUACAUGUACAGGCGGGAGAGUGGCCAGCGAUACUUCUCCAUCCUGUCCCCUAAGGAGUGGGGGACCAGCCCCCACGAGUUCCUCGGCGCCUACAAGCUCCAGCACGACAUGUCCUGGACUCCCUUCGAGGACAUUGACCGGCGAGAUGCCGAGAUAAACCUCCUGGACAAGCUGCUGAGCCGGCAGGCCGCACUGCCGCCGUGCACGGAGCCCAACUUCCAGGGCCUCGCCAAGUGACGCGGGCCGCCGUGACCGGACGGGACCUCUGAGCAGAGCCCCUGCGAGAGGACAGGCCGGCGGCGGCUGAACGCUGCCGAAGGCAGGGCAAGGAGAGGGAUCCAGAAAUGAAAACGCUGCUGCUUGCUCUGUGCUUUAAUGAGACUAAUUCCAAAUUCGGUCUUACUGGAUUUUCUAGUAAUCAAGUAAUUUCUUUCUUUGACUUGUGCCAAGCUCUAGCGAGGUAUCAGAUGGAGUCAGUCCAAGAGGGCUUGGGGCAAAAAGCAAGAUCGCUUGACUCAGAUGUGGUAGCGCUAGGAAAUACGUCCCACCUGUCCGGCUCUGGCGUGUGACACUGCGUCCUGUGGUAGGUGAUCGUUUCAGGGCUGGGUUUUGACCCUGAUGAAAAAACCCAUCUUUAGGAAGCCCCGUGGCCUGGGAAGAGCAGCUGAAGCCCCGGGCAAAAAGGUGUGUUGUGAUCUGAGCCUGUGGGUCUCUCCCAACAGUGUUCAAACCCCUGUGACUUCCAUGCGGGGUGUCCUAGAGCUCUUCUGGAUGGAAAGAGCGUCCUCCAAAGGACCACGCAAGCUUCAGGCCACUGGCCUGGCUGCUGUGGGUCACAGAGGGAGGGCUGUGUGCUUUUUUGAAGGAUGGUUGUUUCACAGCUGCCUUAUGUUUCCCUUGGCUUCCAGUGGCUGAGCUGCUGGGGAGAGAAGGGGAACGUACGGGGUCCCGCACUCUGUUUUUUGGCAGAGCACUGGAAAAAAUGAAAUAAAUCUAUCUCGAUGUCAGCCAUCCUGCCGUGACGGGCCCUGCGUCCUGUUUGCACGGGCAGCCUCCCUUCUGCUGCUGUACCGGGGAGGCUUGGUGAUGUGCUAGGACAUCUCCUGUCUCUAUCUUCCCCCGGGUGCUGGGGAGAGGCCAAGAUCAGAGCUCCUGGGGAGAUCCCUCCCUCCAGGCAGCCACAUAGAUCCCAGGGGGGUGCAGGGCUCCUUGGGGCUCGCCGGCGGGACAGGAGCCAUCUCCAAUUUAGUCUCCCUUCAUCAGGGGACAGCCCUUCCUUCCGCCUCCAGCCCGCAUGCGCUGCAGCAGGCUUUUAUUCCCUUAUCACUUUGCCAUGUGCUUUCUCUCCCUGUUGCAAGCGCGGUGCCCCGCCUCCGAGCUCUCCUGCCUUUGAGCUUUGCAGUUUUGCCCUCUGGCUGUUGCAGGAUCAGCAAGUCCCGGCUGAGAAGUUGCAAAUCACCUCCCGAACACCCGGUUUUACUGGCCGUGGCUGCCGGCAGCUCUGCUCCUCCGGCCUUCCCAGCAAAAGCGCCGGCUCUCCAUCCCCUGUAAUUCCCUGCAUCCCUCUGCGGGCAGAUCCUGGUGCUUGCUGUUUGAGUGACAGCUGUCAGUCACUGCUCCGGCCAACAUCGCAGCGGGCUGGGGCUCUUUGCCAGCGGGUUUCCGGCUGGUGGAGGAAUCGUCCUGCGGAGAAGCCGGCGCUGGCGAAACCAGCGGAAGAGCUCAGCAGAGGUGCACUCCUGCGUAAGCCUGAGCUGAGCAAAGAAAGCAUCAGGCUGCGUUUGGACUUGGAAAGGGCCCUUUUCGGCCGCCCUUUUUUUGUCGCGGUCGCAUCCGGCAGGAGUGGAGGGAGGCUGCAGUCUCACGGCUGCAGCUUCGGCGGCUCGGAGCAGUGCUUUACGCAGUGCUUAGAUUAAAAGCUUUAAAACCGGC